CAGUCGCCGCGGUAAUACGUAGGUGGCAAGCGUUGUCCGGAAUUAUUGGGCGUAAAGGGCUCGCAGGCGGUUUCUUAAGUCUGAUGUGAAAGCCCCCGGCUCAACCGGGGAGGGUCAUUGGAAACUGGGAAACUUGAGUGCAGAAGAGGAGAGUGGAAUUCCACGUGUAGCGGUGGAAUGCGUAGAGAUGUGGAGGAACACCAGUGGCGAAGGCGACUCUCUGGUCUGUAACUGACGCUGAGGAGCGAAAGCGUGGGGAGCGAACAGGAUUAGAUACCCCAGUAGUCCCUGUCUCUUAUAC
rnacentral:rRNA from 1 species